AUUGAACGCUGGCGGCAGGCCUAACACAUGCAAGUCGAACGGCAGCACAGAAGAGCUUGCUCUUUGGGUGGCGAGUGGCGGACGGGUGAGUAAUGUCUGGGAAACUGCCCGAUGGAGGGGGAUAACUACUGGAAACGGUAGCUAAUACCGCAUAACGUCGCAAGACCAAAGUGGGGGACCUUCGGGCCUCACACCAUCGGAUGUGCCCAGAUGGGAUUAGCUAGUAGGUGGGGUAAUGGCUCACCUAGGCGACGAUCCCUAGCUGGUCUGAGAGGAUGACCAGCCACACUGGAACUGAGACACGGUCCAGACUCCUACGGGAGGCAGCAGUGGGGAAUAUUGCACAAUGGGCGCAAGCCUGAUGCAGCCAUGCCGCGUGUAUGAAGAAGGCCUUCGGGUUGUAAAGUACUUUCAGCGGGGAGGAAGGCGGUGAGGUUAAUAACCUCGCCGAUUGACGUUACCCGCAGAAGAGGCACCGGCUAACUCCGUGCCAGCAGCCGCCGUAAUAC
rnacentral:rRNA from 1 species